rnacentral:rRNA from 1 species
AUUGAACGCUGGCGGCAGGCCUAAUACAUGAAAGUCGAACGAGUGGCGAACGGGUGUGUAAUGUAUGGGAACAUGAUCGAUGGAGGGGGGUAAAUACUGGAAACGGUAGCUACUAUUGCUUACCAGCGUUUUGGCCCAGAUGGGAUUAGCUCGUAGGUGGGGUAUCGGCUAACCUAGGCGACGAUCCCUAGCUGGUCUGAGAGGAUGAACAGCCACACUGGAACGGAGACACGGUCCAGACUCCUACGGGAGGCAGCAGUGGGGAAUAUUGCACAAUGGGCGCAAGCCUGAUGCAGCCAUGCCGCGUGUAUGAAGAAGGCCUUCGGGUUGUAAAGUACUUUCAGCGAGGAGGCGUUACUCGCAGAAGAAGCAGCGGCUAACUCCGUGCCAGCAGCCGCGGUAAUAC